rnacentral:tRNA from 2 species
GCGGGGGUCCGAUAGCGGUCAAUUCGGCUAGCUUGAGGGGCUAGUGCCUUAGUGGCUUUCGGCAGUUCGAAUCUGCCCCUCCGCA